UAACACGUAGGAGCCAAGCGUUAUCCGAAUUCACUGGGCGUAAAGCGCGUGCAGGCGGUCUGGUAAGUUGGAUGUGAAAUCUCCUGGCUCAACUGGGAGAGGCCGUACAAUACUGUCAGACUAGAGGGCGACAGAGGGAGGUAGAAUUCCCGGUGUAGUGGUGAAAUGCGUAGAUAUCGGGAGGAAUACCAGAGGCGAAGGCGACCUUCUGGGUCGCACCUGACGCUCAGACGCGAAAGCUAGGGGAGCAAACGGGAUUAGAAACCCCGGUAGUCCUAGCCGUAAACGAUGUAGACUGGGUGUUGGCGGGGUAAAAGCCGUCAGUGCCGAAGCAAACGCGAUAAGUCUACCGCCUGGGGACUACGGCCGCAAGGUUAAAACUUAAAUGAAUUGACGG
rnacentral:rRNA from 1 species